GGAAGACCAAGGGUUCCUGUCCAACGUUAAUCGGGGCAGGGUGAGUCGACCCCUAAGGCGAGGCCGAAAGGCGUAGUCGAUGGGAAACAGGUUAAUAUUCCUGUACUUGGUGUUACUGCGAAGGGGGGACGGAGAAGGCUAUGUUGGCCGGGCGACGGUUGUCCCGGUUUAAGCGUGUAGGCUGGUUUUCCAGGCAAAUCCGGAAAAUCAAGGCUGAGGCGUGAUGACGAGGCACUACGGUGCUGAAGCAACAAAUGCCCUGCUUCCAGGAAAAGCCUCUAAGCAUCAGGUAACAUCAAAUCGUACCCCAAACCGACACAGGUGGUCAGGUAGAGAAUACCAAGGCGCUUGAGAGAACUCGGGUGAAGGAACUAGGCAAAAUGGUGCCGUAACUUCGGGAGAAGGCACGCUGAUAUGUAGGUGAAGUCCCUUGCGGAUGGAGCUGAAAUCAGUCGAAGAUACCAGCUGGCUGCAACUGUUUAUUAAAAACACAGCACUGUGCAAACACGAAAGUGGACGUAUACGGUGUGACGCCUGCCCGGUGCCGGAAGGUUAAUUGAUGGGGUCAGCGCAAGCGAAGCUCUUGAUCGAAGCCCCGGUAAACGGCGGCCGUAACUAUAACGGUCCUAAGGUAGCGAAAUUCCUUGUCGGGUAAGUUCCGACCUGCACGAAUGGCGUAAUGAUGGCCAGGCUGUCUCCACCCGAGACUCAGUGAAAUUGAACUCGCUGUGAAGAUGCAGUGUACCCGCGGCAAGACGGAAAGACCCCGUGAACCUUUACUAUAGCUUGACACUGAACAUUGAGCCUUGAUGUGUAGGAUAGGUGGGAGGCUUUGAAGUGUGGACGCCAGUCUGCAUGGAGCCGGCCUUGAAAUACCACCCUUUAAUGUUUGAUGUUCUAACGUGGACCCGUGAUCCGGGUUGCGGACAGUGUCUGGUGGGUAGUUUGACUGGGGCGGUCUCCUCCUAAAGAGUAACGGAGGAGCACGAAGGUUGGCUAAUCCUGGUCGGACAUCAGGAGGUUAGUGCAAUGGCAUAAGCCAGCUUGACUGCGAGCGUGACGGCGCGAGCAGGUGCGAAAGCAGGUCAUAGUGAUCCGGUGGUUCUGAAUGGAAGGGCCAUCGCUCAACGGAUAAAAGGUACUCCGGGGAUAACAGGCUGAUACCGCCCAAGAGUUCAUAUCGACGGCGGUGUUUGGCACCUCGAUGUCGGCUCAUCACAUCCUGGGGCUGAAGUAGGUCCCAAGGGUAUGGCUGUUCGCCAUUUAAAGUGGUACGCGAGCUGGGUUUAGAACGUCGUGAGACAGUUCGGUCCCUAUCUGCCGUGGGCGCUGGAGAACUGAGGGGGGCUGCUCCUAGUACGAGAGGACCGGAGUGGACGCAUCACUGGUGUUCGGGUUGUCAUGCCAAUGGCACUGCCCGGUAGCUAAAUGCGGAAGAGAUAAGUGCUGAAAGCAUCUAAGCACGAAACUUGCCCCGAGAUGAGUUCUCCCUGACCCUUUAAGGGUCCUGAAGGAACGUUGAAGACGACGACGUUGAUAGGCCGGGUGUGUAAGCGCAGCGAUGCGUUGAGCUAACCGGUACUAAUGAACCGUGAGGCUUAACCUU
rnacentral:rRNA from 1 species